rnacentral:antisense_RNA from 1 species
GCGAGUAGUGAGGGGGUUUUUUGGUGUUGGCUAAAUGUCGCCUGUAUUAUUUGUCAUUACGAUUGCGCAGCCAGUACGCAAAUAACGUAACGAUACAAC